AAGAAGAUCAGGUGCGCUGGUUUGGUUGACGAAGAGAUUUGUGCCCCCGAAAUCGUGAGUAGGUACCAAAGUCAGCCAUUUUGGCGGCCAUUUUGGGAUCCUAACAAGUCUGUCCUUAAAGAUAUAAAGAUUAUAAUUUGUUCUCGUCAUGCAUACUUAUAGAUAAAUGACUUAUUUUGCUAAAUCAACUUUUUCAUAAAUAUACCUUUAACAUUUCGUUGCAUUGAAGUGGAUUUAGCAGUCCUAAAAAUGAAUCAACUAUGCAAAGUUCAAUUCCGGAGUUAUCUGAAACGCCUCUGAAUCAAAUCAGAAUGCUAAAUAAUUGUGACGUUUACGACUAAUCGCUAAAUAAUUUCCACGGCUCAGUUCCAGGCUAUUUCGAAAACGGACCACUUCCACCCAUCCACUACCACACGACAAAAAGGGGAUCUCUUCAACUGGAAAUGGACGGCUAUCGAUUCACAAGAGUGAAAGUUCUGCAGACCACCAUUCACUGGUCUUGUUUGCAAACAAAGGCACUUCGCUGUAAGGCUCGAGCCGUUACCAAUAAUGACUUUCAGGGUACCAUCCGAAGGUACGUUAACUAUCACAAUCAUCCGCCUAGUAUGCGACGUCGCCAGCAUGGAGAUCUGCAGCGGAUCAAAGAGAAUAGAAUGACUGUGAAAUCAAAGAAACAGUGAUAUGGUGAAUUGUUAUUCAAGUUAGCAAAUUGUUUUGUUGAAAUAAAAUUACAUUACCGAAUACGCAUAAACGUUCAUUUCUAUUGUUCUGAGGUUUACUUUGUACGGCCACUUCUCAUCUAUGCCGAAUUUAUUUUUGCAGAUAUUAGUCGGAUCGAGGCCAACUACGUUUCCAGUAGAAAAGGAACUCCUCAAUUGAUGAUCGAUGGUCAUUGCUACAGCAGGCAAAGGGUUCGCUUACGAACUAUUCGAUGGCGUUGCGUGCAGUUUAAAGCUUUACAUUGCAUGUCACGGGCGACAACCGAUCGUCAAAAAGGCGGUCAGAUCAUUUCAGUCGAUGGAGCACACAACCAUGAAGUGAUCAAAGAGCGGCGGAAGAAUGGCGAACUUCGGGAACUGCUGGCUAGGCGACAUGCCGAACGAACCAACAUCGGUGUCAAUUUAAAAGUUGAAGAUAUAGAUAGUUGAAUAAAUCAGUCUUUGUAUGCUAAACCAUUUUCGCUUCAUUGCUACACAUACGAAGAGCUGGAUGUGCACGCCAAACUGAGCAAGAGAGGCAAGGUUCAGCUGAUGAUCGACGGGUUUUCGUUUUCACGUGAAAAGGUUCGUCCGCAUACCAUUCGGUGGAUUUGCAAUCAAGCAUGGGUUUUGAACUGCAAAGUUCGAGCCACCAGUGAAAAAAUGAGUGGAAAGCUAAUAUCGGUCCGAGGAGCGCACAAUCAUGGCGUUGUCAGCAGUCGGCGAAAGUGGGGUCAAUGUAAAUUCAUCAAAGAACAAUGCGAGAGGGAUUCGGAGCAGUCAGUGGAACCUCCACGUAAAGGAGGAAGACCCAAAAAGCAGCUGGAGCAGUGGCAGCUAUAGGCUGUGAAAGUGUAAUUUAUAACAAUAUAUACACUUUUGAUUUAUGCAUUACUUGUUUUUCUUUAGUGUGUUUCAAUGAAGGUUUUGUUGGCAAUUUUCAUAAUUUAUAAAAUUUCUUUCAGGCAACUUUUCGUACGUAAUGAGUCGUCGAGGUACGCUGCAGUUGCAGAUCAAUGGUCACAUAUUCACUAGAUCGCAGGUCCGCGAAAAAAUAAUAAUUUGGGUUUGCAGUCAAAGGAGAGCCCAUCGUUGUAAAGCUCGGGCGACAACAAGCCGAAAAGAGGGAAGCGCUAUGAUUUCGCUGAGAGAAGACCACACUCAUGAUGUCAUUACCGGACGGAACGUUCAUCGAAAAAAGAUUAUGCCGACUCCUGCAGUUAUUCUUUCCGCCACGGAAUCAGACUUGGAAUAUGAUGAAUACGAUUUGUUAUGAUAAAUAUAUGCAAACAAGAACCACUGCAAUUCUUAUACAUUCGCUUCUCAAUUGUUAUUCUUACUUUCAAAGACAGUUCUGAUAUUUGACAAAGUUUUAAUUUUUUGUGUUUCAGUUCCGAAUGACGUGGCCUACAUAAUGACCAGCCGUGGAAUACAACUAACGGUCAACGGGUACCUAUUCUCUCGUCAAAAAGUCUCCACGCACUGCGAGAUGUGGCGCUGCAUGCUUUCGUACUCUCAUAGGUGUCCUGCUCGAGCAAGCACGUACAAACCACGAAACGGUCAGGGUGCUCGAAUUUCUCUCCGAAACCAGCACAACCAUCCGAUCGGUGCGACCAGCCGCAAGAAUAAGAAACCAGCAGUGAAUAAAUCACCCAAGUUGCCAAAAGUUCUCAGCGGAAAUAAACCAAAGGCUUCAACGGAGCAGUAACAGUAUAGUUAACAUAAACAUUCGCAUCGCAAAUAAAGGAUUCUUAAAAGUUCAGUGUGAUUAUUUUCGUGUAGUACUAGAUUUACCUUGGUGGUUAUAUUUUGAUGUUGGUUAAUUACUUUUUAUUUCUAGAAAUCAGUGACAUAUCUUUCGUGAUGACCAGAAGGGGCCGAAUGCAGCUUUCAGUCAGUGGGUAUCUUUACACUCGAGAUAAAACACGAGGUGAUUCACAGUUUUGGGCGUGCAACCAAUCAAAAGUGCUGAACUGUACUGCACGGGCCACUACACACAAGGUACAAAAGAACGGCUCACCGAGGAUAACUCUACGAGGACAGCACAGUCAUGAAGUGAUCACAGAACGACGGAAAUCCGGAGCGCGUGCCCGCUUGAUCGAGAAAUGCCGGAAGGAUCGUGGACUUGUGCCUUAAUAUUGGUUAAAAAAUAGAACACCCAGCUAUCGGAAAAGGAAUUCUUAUACAUGCAAAUUAAGGCUCUAGGAGCAACGUUUUAAAGUGAAUACCAGUUCAGUCACAGGACAAUCAACGAACGACGCAAAACCGGUCCGCGAGUCAAGCUUGUGGAGCAAUGUAUUCAAGAAAGAUGCUUGAAGCGAUAGCGGUGAUAUCCAUUCUAGUACUUAAUCGUUUCAAUGAUAUUAAAAAAUGCUGUUACAUUUCGAAUGCUUAAUUUAUUUGCUCUAGUACUACAGUUACAAUGCGUUGCAAUUCUCAUUACUAAAAUGAUUUCUCAUUAAUUCAGAUAUCUCAUUCGUCAUGAGCAAACGAGGUAAAACUCAACUUUGCGUCGAUGGAUUUCUCUAUAUGCGCGUGAAGGCUAGCGACGAACUGCAGUACUGGUCGUGCAAUCAGUUCAGGGUGCUUGGCUGCACGGCUCGUGCCACAACUGGAAGGGGGAAAAGAGACGGCAAACCGAUUAUCAAGCUGCGCGGCUUUCACAAUCACCGGAUAAUUAUGCAGCGUCGAAAACCUGGCGAAUGUGCUAAAUUGAAAGAGCAAUACGCCCGUGAACGGGACGGGCUACUAGAGAGGGCUAAACAUGCUGUACCAGAACAAACGAAGCCGUUAUCAAUACCAGUGGUAUCACAACCGUCGCUUUUACCGAUGGCACAGUGCUUUUUGAAGCAAGAAAAAUGAAUGUGAAUUGAUGAAGCAUCUUUUUCGUUAUUCUAUUACUUCGUCGCUUAUAUAUCGAGCUGAUAUAAUGCGAAGUACCGUGUUAUUUCGGGAGGUCUGUAGUAUGCAAUAGAUAUUAUUAUAAAUAAACUUAAAACCGUUGAUUUAUACUUAAGAUGUUGCGAUCAGGGUUUACAAGAAAAGUUAAUAAUCACACUGAAUCGCGUCGUGCCAUAAACGAUAAAUAUGCACAAGUUGUAACAAAUUGAAAAACUAGAAACCAUAAUAUGUAGAGUGAAACCUCAUAUCUUUGUUCUUAAUGGAAAAAAUGACUGUUGUAGAGCGACAGAGAGAGAAAAAAUAUCAAAUAAAUUUCGUUCAAAGCUAUUUCUAAAAAAUAUGCAAUGUAUUCCGAAAAAUUUUCACCGAAUCAUACACGCAUUUGACAUUAUAACAAAUUUCUUUGCAGUUGUCUGCCCAGAGGAAAUUUCCUUUGUAUUGAAUUACCGAGGAACGCAGAACAUGGUGAUUCGAAACCACUUCUUCGUUCGCAACAAAAUUUCCCAACGGUAUCUUUUCUGGAAUUGUGCCCAGAAGAAAGCUCUAGGCUGUCGCGUUCGAGCUACAAUGCCACGCCCACCCAACAAAGGACCUGUCAUAUGCCGAGGGGAACACAAUCACGAAGUGGUUUCCGAACGACGAAAGCAUGGCGCACUCAGAGAAUUACUGAACAAACGAAAGCUAGAUAAAGAGCAGCCGAGUGCAGGGAGAUGUAGAAAAUAGAGAAUAAAUCAAAUUCAGUUGAAAGUGUUUAUCUUAUGUCUUUUUAGAUUUGAAUAUCUUAAUUUUUCAUAUAGGAGAUUCAUUAUGUAUUGAUGUAUUACAGAUAACUAUAUCAGCGAUAAUGCAUCCGAAAUGGAUAUAUGCUACAUGGUGACAGCUCGUGGAACAACUCAGCUGGUUGUGGAAGGAUAUCCGUUUACCAAACUCAACGAACGGGCUCAUAUGACGUUCUGGGCGUGCUGUCAAGCUAGACCCUUGAAUUGCAAAGCCCGGGCCACAACAUAUCGCGCUUCGAGGGAUGGAAAAAUCACGUUCAGAGGAGAGCAUAACCAUGGCAAAAUCCAUGAACGGCGCAAAGCGGGUGCGCUCAGAAAACUACUCGAGCAACGUGACAAAGAGAAAGCUCGACAAAAAUUGUUGAAAUCAGUGGGAAUUGUGUAUGAAUAAAAGAGCCACAUGAAAUGAUGCUGUUUUUUGUCUAUCGUGAAGUAAAAAUGGCAUCAUUGCUUGAUUCUAAAUGUCAUAAGUAGUGUUGCCAAAUUUUCAAAUCUGAUUCAUGGUUUUAAAUAAAAAUUGAGAUGUGUUUAGAAAUCUAGACACUCGUUACGUGGACACGAGCAGAGCGCAUCAGCUAGUCAUACAGGGUUACAGCUUCACCCGAAAGCAAAAACGGAAACGAAACACGAUUUGGGAGUGUUGCCAGUCGAGGCCGUUGGGAUGAAAAGCAUCGGUAACCAUCUAUGUGACAGGAAACAGAGUGAAUAUGCGAGGAAUGCACAACCAUGCAAUUAUGACGCAAAGACGAAGACUGGGCUAGCGCAAACGGUUGAUGGAGGCACGCGUGCAGGAGCGUAUCUGGCGGAAAACCGAAAAAGAGAAGUGAUUGUCGCAGGGAAUUUAAAUUUGUCUGUCAUAUUACUUACACUAUUAAAAAAAAUAAAAUAUCUAAACGAUAGUUUUGUUUUGCAAUGUGAAGAUUGAGUCAUGGUACAGAACGGGCUAGUUGAUUACAUUAACGGAGACCAUUGUCAUUUGAAUGCUGAACAAUAAAUGAAAACUAUCAUUUAGAUCGGAUCAACCGCCUAACUGAUUGUUUUUUGUGUGAAUAUUUUCAGGCGAUCUACUACAAUCAAUGGAAGACUAUAGUCAAGUUCAAACCGAAUUUGAAAUGCCACAUCCGGAGAUGGCUGGAGUGUCUGUACUGUAUAAGCGUAAUCCAGUCGAAAUAAUAGGCGAUGAAAAACGUAAGUAGUAAUGUUUACAUUUCAAAUUACUUGGUAGCAGAAUUGCCAGAUACAAUCUUAUCGGUACGAAGCUACACAAUUCAUUUGCCAUUGUGAAUCAGAUCCUACACACCAAAUAUUGCGUAUUUUAGUGAGCACUACUCCUAGUUAGUCUUAUUUUUAGUUCAUAUUAUUGAAAACACACAAGGAAAAAAGCGCUUGCGCAUUCAUCCAAAUAGUAGAUUCCUUUAACGAUUACCUGCAACAAAAAUGGGACCCUCUAGAGGGUAAACUUCAAUAUUGCUUAGAAUUCUUUUAGAGACAAAGUUGAAAGUAAAUACCCCCGAGAGGGUAAACUCAUAUUUUAGAGCAUUUCCCCAAGAGGGUACACCAAUAUUAUGACGCCUAACCCUGAAAGCGUAAGCUAAAAUGGUAAUCUCUCGAGAUCAUAUGCCAUGGUUAGCAGCUAAUAUUUACCAAGUAGUGAACACGGGAGACAAUUGUUGGUAUUCAAAAGAAAACCUCUGCCAUUUCUGAUGACCACUCGAAAAGGGUUGGCCCUAAUGAGUGAGAACAUUUUGGAUAAGACAGUAGCCUGUAAGUGUAGUCUUCGAAACGUAUUUCAAGCAGUGUGUAAAAAAAUCAAAGGCUGAAAGUGAAGAUUGACAUUCUCAUUUUUUCAUUCGUGUUUGGUCACAUUCAAUGUCAGCUGAAUGCCUCUCUUUCUUCAUUCAAUUCUUUGUCUCGAAUAUUUUUUCGCAAUCGUAAAAUGUCCAAUUUCUGUUAACAGACACACAAUCCGACUUAAUGGACAAAUAGAGCAGUUAAUUAGUACUGCAAUUAACUACUAUAUACAAGUUUUGAGGUGAUUGGAAGAAUAAUCGGGAGUUAUGGUCUAGUUAUAUUUCUCAGUGAAAAAUGUUAGUGACAGAAAAAUGAAUGAAUAAAUGAGAAAAUUCAUUCACCAAAAUGAAUUUUAUUUUGAUCCCUCAUUUGAGAAUCUUCAAAAUUCACGUUGAAUUUUACUCACUGAAAAUGAAAAUUUUAAACUCUGUGCCUUUUUCCAAAUA